UCUGGGAGGGGGGCAGUGGCUCCUCCCACCCUGCCCCUGCAGUAGUGUUGACACAGCACCCUCUACCUGGCAGUCAGUGGCUGAACACACUGGGAAGCAGCCCCGGCUAAGUGGAAAUGCAAAUGCUUUCGCCAGUUAAGCUGCCAGGAGAGGCACUGCCCGCACUGCCCGGGAGGUGUCCCGCUGGGCCAUCCUGGUGACAAAUGGGCAGCACAUCUCCCAUCUCUGGCCUGGGGGUCCUGGCUCUAUUACGUGACCUUGCCUACUCGGCGCCUUCUCUCCUCCUCCAUACAUGGCUGGAUUGGAUAAGAGGACAUCUACAUGCUUUCCUUCGGAGCCCUUUGAGCAAAGGAUUCCUAUAACCCCACUGUGCAGAUGAAGAACCCAAGGCACCGAGAGGGGCAGUAAUCUGCCCAAGGUCACGCAGAGAGUCAGCAGGAAUGAGGGGACCACAGCCACCCACUACACUCCCUGGAGAGCAACUGAGGAUCCAAAGAGCCAAGGAAUCGGUGCAGACAGACUGUGAGAACCACAAGAGGAAGUAGCGGCUCUGUUUGGACCCCUCCCCCUCUCCCUGCCUCUCCAGAGCUCUCCCUCUACCCCCCUACCCCACUACCCCACGGCCGUCCUCUUUCCCCCUCCUCCUUGUGUCUUCCUUUCCCUUCCAUCUGUCUCCAUCUCUUCCUACUGAUGAAGACAUUGACAAAGUGGGAGUGGGAGGGGAGAGGACCAUCCAGCCAGUGACCCCUGCACAGCAUGGCCACUCACUUCUUUUUAGCCCUUCAUCCUGUGGGAUUGUGGGCUUGGU